rnacentral:lncRNA from 1 species
UACUUUGCUGAUCUUUCUAAGGACCUGAACGAACUACUGUCGGAAAGCCGUGGAACAAAUCCAAGGCAAGCUUGAAACAAAAGUAUUUCAACACACCUUGGGCAAUGAUUUCUGUCUUUGCAGCUGGUUUUCUCAUCGUACUCACUGUCAUACAAACAGUGUGUACUAUCAUCUCUGUCAUUAAUUAGUUAAGUAUAUCAACAAUAAGUCUCCUUAAUUCGCCGUUUUCUCCUCAUCCUUUACGUAGUAUUUAAUUUGCUUGUUUUAUUUUUUCGUCUCGUUGUUCCAUAGUGAGAUUCAUGCAUGUUUGUGUUGUAGACAUUUGUAAAACCUCUUGCUAAUAAGAGCUGUACGGUUUGUUUUAUGAUUUGUGCCUUAAUUUCUCAUCUAUAAAGUACUUAUGUCGAAAAGAGUUGUUAGAAUGUCAUAUGCAUGGUAGCUACGUCCCAUUGCAAAAGACACAACUAUAUAUAUAUAUAGACAAACUUUCUCAUCAAUAUGUAAUACGAAAGCUUUUGUUUGUACCGGAUGUUCUCUUACAAAGAUUUUCCUCUUUUUCUUGAAAAUAAUGCUAAUCAUUUUCUACUUUAGUAUAAAGAUAACGUUGACGGGUUAGACAAUUAGUUGUUAAGAGAAAAAAGUCAGUGGAGAUCGAACCCGUACUAGAGUCUAUGAGCAUAAUUGUUUUUUUAUCAUUACGGUAAAGUGUUAUUUGCCAUCCAACCACAAGAACUAAGAAAAGAAAUGAUAAAUAUAGAGGAGCAAUGGAUCUAAAUUUGUUUUGGUACGUUGGAUCCAAAUUCUUUUAGGACUAGUGGAUCCGCAAGCGUGUGGAUCUAAAUUUGUUCAUCGACGUAAAGUAUGUACAAGAUUAUAGAAGUGGAGAUGCUUUCUCUAAUGCACAUCAAAAGUUAUACAUUUAGAGAGCAAUUAAAUCAUUUAACCUAAUUAGACCUAACGGGUCUUAUUCAAAUAUGUAACUUAAAUUUGAGCUUUUGAUUUAUACUAUAGAAAAUUCAUAGGAGAUCCACUAGCUAGGCCCAAACCAAAGUCUCUUUAAAGGUCUUCAAAAUAUAAGGGCCCGUAAUAUUUAUUUUGUUUCUAAUGUCUAUGUUCUCUCUUGAAUUACCAAACUUUAUGCCACUUCGUAAUAUGAUCUAGUUGAUAUUUUUUUUUACAUGUAACGUUAAGUGAGAAGUCUAAAGUUUCAUUCUCAUCGAAAUGCGAAUUUGAACCACAUUAUUAAUAGCCCACAUAAUUUGGAAAUAAUGUUAGUUUUGUACAAUGAUUCAAAUAGAAGAAUCGUAAGGAAUUAUUUGUCUAUAUGGAAAGUGACAUAUGCUCUCAUAGAAUUUGACCGCUCAUUAUUGAACUAAAAUAUAUUGUUGCUUGAGCAUUGGGAAUCUGGCAGAGAGAUGAGAAGGUCAACUUUGAAGAUCAUGGCUUCAUGGCUUUUUCAUCGGCUUCUAUAGAUCAUAUUUAUCUUACAUGAGUAACUCCCAACUAUACUGUACUAUGGAUUUCACAUGCAUUUCGGGUUGGAAGCCAACUCUAUGCAGACAAAAUUUGUCCUUGUAACCGCAUAUAUAUCUUUUUAUUGUCUCUCUCACAUCACGUGAGAGAAACAUAUGGCAAUGUAAAGAGUUGCCUUACAUUAAAAAAUUUAGAAACCGUACAUAAACUUAUAAAAUUUUGAUUACUUUUCGUUGUCAAGUAAAUUAAGAGUGAAACUCCAACUUAUCCAAACAAUGAUACUUAUGAGCCUCAUAGAGAAAUUUGGGCCCAUUUGGACCCCCAGAGUUGAACAAUGCCAAACUGCAAAAUCACAAUCAGCUAAGCUAUCAGAUCACGGGCAGAGUUGGUUCAACUGCAGAAAUAAUGGUUCAAAUAAUACUGCAGAAGUGCAGAAAUUAGGGUUUAUAUCAUUCAUGUGGUCCUCCACUCCCUACUGCCAAGAGUUUAAUGACCUAUCUUCAUCUUCAGCCGCCCAAGGAUGCAGAAAGUGAAAAUUCUAGAAUGCAUAGAUGCAUAACAUAUGCAGAUGGUGUUUUACUGCAGUGACAAAACAAUUAUGCUUAUGCACAUUAGCGCGGAUUCGAUCCUUUUCGAUUUCCUCACUCAUAACAAAUAACUAUUUAACCAACUAACGUUCUCGCUCUACUAAAACAUGCAAAACAUAUAUUGUUGAAUUUAACUGAUAAAUCUACGCUGAAAAUUUUGAAAAAAAAUUAACAGGUCGAUAUGAUUUACUUGGAAGGCAAUGUAUUUCAUUAGUUCUAUAGUUUAUGGUCUUCCAAUUUACUUGUAUAAGUGAGAAAUAUGAAGUUUUUAAUUCUCAUAAAUUACAAAUCCGAUACUAAUUGAUCAAGCUGAGUUAUUGUGUGAUUUACUCCAAUCCAUAUCGUUGUGUAUAAGUAAUACACAAAUAUACAUUGUUAGACAGUAGGACUCUCUAGAGCUCUCCUGCAGUUGACCUCUCGGUGUUGAUUUGGAUUGGCCAACCAUUUUAGGUAAAACUAAUUAUUUUUUAGGUUGCAGUUGGGUUUGUAAUUAAUGAAAAUUGAGUUAGUUAAUUAAUUAGUUCAACUAAUUUGUACUUAUUUCCUAAUAAGCCCCUACAAUUGUAUAUAAAACUAAUAAGCAAUACACACAUGCAAUUAUGCAAGCGCAGCUUGUUGGACCCACCCACCGACCCAUUGGUUGUUUAUGUUUAGAGAACUUUAACGAAAAGCAUCCGGUACUGUUCACUUUAACGAAAAACCACAUUUUUACACGAAAAAGUCAAUCCUGGUACUAUUCACUUUACCCUUUAUUUUGUCCUUAUCAUUAAAACUCAAAGUUUUCAAGCUUUUUUAUUAGUUUUCCUUUAUGUUUAAUCACACCACCUUCAUUGAAGAAUUAAUGGGUGCCAACUUCGUGAAAUGUCAAAGGAAUGACCAAAGCCAGUUGUCAAUGGUCAAAUUUCUCCCCACCGACACUACCAAUACGAUACGGACUCUUUUGUCUUCUGCUUCCAGAAGAGAUACUUUAUCGAUGAGAUGAGAUUUUCAUUUUACACUUUAAUUCUCAAAUACUUUUAUUUUGUAACGCAUAAUGACGAACAAAGAGGGCGAAUAAUUGGUUUGCAUGGUAGGAUUAGCUAGAAGGUUCGUGUUCAAUUCAAUCACACCACAUGCGCCGUUUUUGCGAUCAAACUCGUCUAUUGAGUCCCAAUAUCCAUGUCAUACAAUUACGCUCUGAUCCCCUAUUUAUAAUCUACGAGUACUAUAGUGGCAAACUGAGAGUGAGAAUAACAUUUGCUUUGAUAAACCAUGCCAACUUUGCAUAGUGGGAUUGGCUAGAAGGUUCAGGUAGAAUCCAAUCAAUAAGAGUAUACCAAAUGUCAAUUAGGCAUAAAAAGUUGGAGAGUAGCGUUUAUCAAACAAAAACAAAAGUGAAAGGUUAAAAGUCGAAAAAGCACAAACUUUUUGAAAGAGACUGUAUGUGUAUGUGUGGGAGGUGGGUCAUGAGUCACAUAUUACUUGGUGCCUGAUUCACGAAGAAUUGGCGGUGAUGGUGGUGGAUCCUCAUAUCAUAGAGGAGGAAGGGAACCAGUGGGCUCCCUUCCAAUUGACAGUUGUUGUCCACAAUCCUAAAGAAGACAAUAUUGUUCUUUUUAGUCACCAUUGUCUACAACUAGAAGAAUAAAAAGCAAAGCAUGCAACGCUUGAUAAGUAUGAUUAAUUGUGUUAAUGCAUGUCACAUCCUUAUUUUUCUCAACAUUCUUUUAAUUACGUAACAAGAUUUGGAUUGAACCACAUAAUAAAUUUGUAAAUUUAAGUCUAACUUGAAAUUUUAUACUUACAAGUAGAGAGAAUAUUACAAACAUUACGUAAUGUCAAUGGCAUGAAACAGUCAAUUUAACAGCAAAGAAUGGGCAUUUACAAUGGCGGAACUCACCCUAGGCCAUAUAGCCCACCCUAGCCAUAUUGUACCUCUGCCCUUGGUUGCUUGUUUUGAAGUUAAGAAUUCACCGUAAAAUUAAUAGACAAUUUGGUGAAUAACCCAGCUGCUUAUAAGUAUAUGCAAAGUUCAUCUUUUUUUUUUUCCAACGUAAAAUUCAAUUUCAAUAUAUUUUAUGGGGUCACUUAACAAAAGAAAAUUUAAGCCAUGGGUUUAUGACAUUUUUGUAUUUCUGUCUCUUAGUACGUACUUGAAUAAAAGAGUCGUCAAAAGUGGCAUGGGAGGUCGUUUUCAGUUAAUUCUCGUUGCUUUCUUUUGUUAACCUCCAAGCUUGUUUGGACUUCCGUCUAUCGUAUAUGUCGCAGGUCUUGCUUAUCCACGACUUAAUCAUCCUUAUAAUCUGGAACUCUCUUUUGUCUUUAGAUUAUAAGUCCAACUAUGUCCAAAUUUGGAUCCGCGUUAAAAAUAGUUGGAAAUAACAUGAAAAAGCAUACAAACCAAAACUGUAAUCAACCUAAGUAGGAGUGGACACGGUUCAGUUUGGAGGAGCAGUGUCGCUCCAGGAAAACAAGCGACUAUUAAGUACACAUAUUUUGUGUUUUGUUCAUCUAUAUACAUACGAGUAUUUCUUUGCUCCUUACAAGCUAAUUAUAAACCGACACAUAGGCAAAACUAACCUAUCAUAAUCACAAGGAAACGCUUACGCACACCCGUCAAACUGUGAUUUGUCUGUCCGAGAAAACAUAACUCGCAACCCUAAAAAGGACCGUAACAUGCC